UUUAAGUGUAACCAUGAGUUUCCACGCUAAACUUUGAUCGCCCAUCUUGUUUGAAAUUUUUUUAAUUAAUAUUUUUAUUGUUAUGAUAUGAUAAAACAUGAAUAGUAAUUUACUCAUGACUUAUGGUUUUAAAAUUUUUCAAAUAAGACAGACAAUAGGCACGAAAAACCAUGGCUGCACUUAUA
rfam:Oryza glaberrima chromosome 9 Oglab09_0081_5, whole genome shotgun sequence.